rnacentral:lncRNA from 1 species
GCUGAAAGUAUCAAAUGUUACAUCAUUUAGGUCUCAUAUUUCAACUUUAUUCUAAGGUUUUAUUUUCCCUCAGCUAGUAGAAAUGUGAUUUUGUCACACUGUAGCUGUUGACUGUUUCCCUCUCCUCUCAGGAAAGGUUUGACCAUUAGUUUCACAUCAAUUGCAGCAAAGAGUCUAGCUAUGUCUACCCCCGCUUCGGUUGUGGUUGGUGUUGGUGUUGGUAUUCUGGCAGCUGCAGUUAAUACAAAUAUAAAGUAGGUGAAGUUAAUUCUCUCUCUGUUUCCUUCCUGCCUUGUAUGUGAAAUGUACGCAAAUGUAAAACCUGAUUGACCCUACACUUUUUCAGAUAUCUUUUUAAUAUAUCAUGUCUUUGUUUUUUGUUUAUGAUUUUAGAAAAAAGAAGAUGCAACCAAGAUCAAGACAGAUCAACUCUCUAAGGAAAAAACUCCAAGACUGCAGAUGAACAAAAAUGUUGAUAAAGGAUGAUUUUAAAAAAAGUUCAAUAAAGAUGACAGACCACACAUGGUAUCAGUCUGACUUGUAGUUUGACAAUGGGCACAAAAUCACCCUCUUUUAAAACAAAAUAUAAGACCUUCCCAUGGUGCAUUGUGCAGAGCUCUCUGUGCCUCCUGAAAGGGUUUAGGUGUUUCAACAUGCUGCUAAUGAAGGUUUAUUCUGACUGAGAUAUUUG